GAAGAUUCAGUUCGACAACUUUGAGCUGAAGAUAGAUGAAGAUUUAAGGGUUAUGUGGAACAAAUUUCACCAUUACGAAACAAAAGGUCUAAUUCUGUUCGAGCUAGAUGCAAAUAUUGUGAGAUUGACCAAAGAUAUUCUGAGAUGUUGCAACAUUUUGCUGAAAUAUAUUGUUAAAUUUACGUUAUGUAUUUAUGUUACGAUUAUCUAUGUAAUGUUACAUAUUUUGAUAUUAAUUUAUCUUUUUC
rnacentral:lncRNA from 1 species